GUCGUCGUGGUGAUCAUCGUUAAAUUUAAGCUAAGUUCAAAUCGAAUUUAUCUAGUCAAGUUAACCAAAUGUCAUUUUCGAUUAAAAUUUUGUUUUUGUUUUUGUUUUUCUUUUGCCUUGCUUUUUAGGAAUUUUCUUUAGAAAUUUCAACAAUUUUUGGCCUAAGACCAGUUACGACGAUUCUGUCGUUGGUGGUAUGACGUCAAAAAAAAAAAAAAUAAAAUAAAUAAACUCAUUUCAUAUAUUGGAUGCAGAAUAAUUUUCUGUUUUCAAUAAUAAUUAAAUUAAUUUCAUUAAACAAUGCUACUAUCAUCAUCAUCAUCAUCAAGAAUCAAGAAUCAAAAUCAUCUUGAUUACAGUUACAAAAUGGCCCAUAAUGAUAAAAACAAAGUUGAAAAUUGAAAAUGAUUUACACACACAAACACACACACACACACAAUAACUAUGGAACUCUGUGAUGCACUCUACAGUAGAAUGAAAUUCACUUCAAGAUUUUUUUUUUGUUUUAUAACAACAAAAGCCAAAAAAAACUCAAAUUUUUUGCACGGCAUCAAAUAAGAGAUAAUUUUUAAAAUAAAGAACACAAGACAAAACAAAGAUAAAUUUUUCAUCCUAAAACUGGCAAAUGGAAUUAUUUUUGAAAUCAACAUUAUUCAAAUAUCUUGCCAACCCAACCAUCCUAAAGAGAAAAUUUCUGGAUAGAUUCUGUAAUUCUGUUUUAUUCAACAAACAUAUUCUGGGUCAAUAAAUGUCGUCGCCAUCGUAGUGGAUAUUGAUUAUGUGGUCCAUUAUUAAUCCAUGAUGAUGAUGAUGAUUACCAUAGUCAAUGAUAUAAAUAUUGAUGUAACAUUUACCAACUAAAGUGUGGCCAGUGACAGUAGCUGAAUCUUAAUUGGAAUUUUUCUUAUCUCAAUAUAUACAUUAUUAAAUCGCUUGUAUACAGAACUAAUGAACCAUUCUUAUAUUGAUCGAACAUUGUAAGACAAAACCAAACAUUUAAUGACGUUUUUCUAGCUUAAAGAUUAAUGAAAUUAUGAGAUCCCAUGACCUCCAUUAUCAUUUUGGCCAAAAAUAGUUGUUUUUCUGGUUUAAUCAUCAUUGAUUUAAAUAACAGUGAAACAAGAGAGAGAGAGAAAAAAACGUUGUUGUCGUCGAUGUUGGACGUCAUUGACAAUAUGUUCAAAUUUUUUACUUAAUUUUUAUUUCAAAUUCGUAAAAAAAACUAAAU